GACGAACGCUGGCGGCGUGCUUAACACAUGCAAGUCGAACGGAAAGGCCCUGCUUUUGUGGGGUGCUCGAGUGGCGAACGGGUGAGUAACACGUGAGUAACCUGCCCUUGACUUUGGGAUAACUUCAGGAAACUGGGGCUAAUACCGGAUAGGAGCUCCUGCUGCAUGGUGGGGGUUGGAAAGUUUCGGCGGUUGGGGAUGGACUCGCGGCUUAUGAGCUUGUUGGGGGGGUAGUGGCUUACCAAGGCUUUGACGGGUAGCCGGCCUGAGAGGGUGACCGGCCACAUUGGGACUGAGAUACGGCCCAGACUCCUACGGGAGGCAGCAGGGGGGAAUAUUGCCCAAUGGGCGGAAGCCUGAUGAAGCAACGCCGCGUGCGGGAUGACGGCCUUCGGGUUGUAAACCGCUUUCGCCUGUGACGAAGCGUGAUUGACGGUAAUGGGUAAAGAAGCACCGGCUAACUACGUG
rnacentral:rRNA from 1 species